UACCAGCACCCCGAGUGGUCGGGACGUUUUAUUGGGCCUAAAGCAUCCGUAGCCGGUUCUACAAGUCUUCCGUUAAAUCCAACUGCUUAACAGGUGGGCUGCGGAAGAUACUAUAGAGCUAGGAGGCGGGAGAGGCAAGCGGUACUCGAUGGGUAGGGGUAAAAUCCGUUGAUCCAUUGAAGACCACCAGUGGCGAAGGCGGCUUGCCAGAACGCGCUCGACGGUGAGGGACGAAAGCUGGGGGAGCAAACCGG
rnacentral:rRNA from 1 species